GGGCCCAGAUACACAGGCUGGGCCAGCAGUCUGCUGCUGGCAGCUAAGGAGGUAACAUCAGGCUGAGCUGCUGCUCCUGGAACAUCUUGGAGGUAAAGGCAGGAGCUGUGAGGAGGUUUGGAGGCUCCUGGUCCUGGGCAUGACCUAAAACUGCAUCCUGCCAGAGCCUAUGGACCCAGAAAGGAAUAGAAUGCCUCCCUCAGGGAUCUAACUACUAACUUCCCAAUGCCAAGAAUAGACCUAAGGCAUCUAGUGAAGAGCUUGUCAUCUGCUGGCAGGAGCCAGGAAAGUGCUGAUGGAGUUAGAAGGAUGCCGCUCUUGACACUUGACCAUAGACUUCAGCACCGCUGUGAUGGCUGCGUUCUUUAUGUUUAACACAAGGAAACCUGGGCACAUCAAGUCUAUAUGUGUUGAAAUUCUCCUUGGAGACCUUAGCCAAAUGAGCUGGGGCUGCCUUACUGCUUAAGUGACAGGAGAAGGAUGUGCAUAUGUGUAUCUUUAACAAAAAACAUAUUUUCUCUCAGCUGUUUCUAAGGCAUUUGAGUUAAAUAAGUAUUUGUGAAACCAAACAAAAAUAAAAGGGUUUAAAACAG